GUUGGCAGCAUAAAUGGCAGCGUCCACGCCGCCAUGACCAUCAAAGACAGCAAAGUUACAGUGGAGAGGGGACCACGAGCCUGAUGAUUUGUCCCAAGAAAUAAACUAGAGGUGCUGGAUGUACGGGCCAUGAAAGCUUUCUUUCUUUCUUUUAAAAACAAAAAUUGAUGAAUCUCACAUAGUACUUACUUUUUGUUAUUGCUGUAUUGGAAUCUUUUUGAUUGUUUUUACCUCACUUUUGUUUAUUUAUUUUGACAAUUUCGCUUAUUUUAUUUUCUUAUUCAUUGAUUGCGAAUAAAGACAAUGACUUUACUAUAAA